AUGACAGGGCCAAAGAGAGCGGGUGGUAUAGGUUUUAGAGAUAUGCGCUUGUUUAACCAAGCGCUUCUCGCUAAACAUGGAUGGAGGCUUAUCCAAAACCCGGAUAGCCUAUGUGCGAGAGUGUUGAAAUCUAAGUACUAUCCCAACGGAAACCUUCUGGACACGGUGUUUGCGAAGGAUGCAUCCCCGGUUUGGAGAGCUAUUGAAUUUGGGCUCAAACUGUUGAAGAAGGGGUUGAUCUGGCGAGUGGGGGAUGGAAAAAGCAUCCAGAUUCAAAGAGACCAAUGGAUCCCGAGGCGGGAAGGCCUCAUGACAGCAACCUUCAUCAGGAAAUCUCGUAUCAGAUGGGUUAGCCAACUCAUGCUGUCGGACAGAAAGGAGUGGGAGGUAGGUCUCAUUAGGCAAAUAUUCCAACCUUUUGAUGCUGACGAGAUUUGCAAGCUCAGAAUUCCAUCCGCGACGGUGGGCGACUGCAUGGCAUGGCAUUACGAGAAAAAUGGCGUUUUUCAGUCAAAUCUGCCUACAAGCUCGCCACAACAUCCUCUGGUCAGUUCUCUCAAAGCCCAUCGAGCUCUACCAGUAUUCCAAACGAUCGCAACAUUUGGAAUCUCAUUUGGAAAGCUAAGGUUCCCGGAAAGGUCUGUAUCUUUGCUUGGAGGAUUGCCACCAAUACCCUUGCCACAAAGAAGAACAAAUGGAGGCGUACUCUUGAAUUGGACGCCACCUGCAACAUAUGUGGUAACGGAGUGGAGGAUGAACACCAUGCGGUUAUUAUGUGCACUAAGAGUAGAGCAUUACGUGCAACAAUGA
rnacentral:rRNA from 1 species